GUGAAGAUUCCGGUAAAUGUACGGAAUUCCGGUGAGAAUGUUGACUUGUUGUGUGGAACAGCGAGCUUUUCCGAUGUAUUUUUUAGGUAUCUAGAGGACGGAGAGACAUCGUCGGGAAAUUUCUGUAACUCCGGGGAUGGUAAUGGUUACUCCGACGACGAAGAGGAUGAAAACUCCUACGACGUGAAAGAGAGUAAGGCGUUUUGGAACUCUCAGGAUGAACUUCUCCAGGCGACGUUACGGAGAACGAGUUCAAUUGAGUCGAAAAUCCGCCGAGCGACCGCUGAGAUUCUAAGGGAAAGGAACAUAGAGUCAACGAUUUGCGAGUGCGGGACGUCACCGUCAGGAGGCUGCCGGAACUGCUGGCAGAGAGAGAUCUGCAAUCGGCUACGAAUCUCCGGUUUGAAUUGUGCUGUGUGUAAAUCGAAAUGGAGAAACUCAUCAGACAUUCCAUCAGGCGAACAUUCGUAUUUAGAAGUGGUCGACAAUUCGAGUUCGAGAAGAGGGGAAAUUCGGGUGGUGAUCGAGCUCAAUUUUAGGGCAGAGUUCGAGAUGGCGAGAGCGAAUGAAGAAUACAACAAAUUAAUCAGGCGAUUACCGGAGGUUUUUGUGGGGAAAUCCGAGAGAUUAUGGUCUUUGAUUAAGAUCUUAUGCACGGCGGCGAAGAGGUGUACGAAAGAGAAGAAAAUGCAUUUGGCUCCGUGGAGGAAACAGAAAUAUAUGCAAUCAAAGUGGCUGGGCCGGCGGGAGAGGGCGGCGGCGACGGGGCCGCUGCCGGUGAAUUUCUCCGACCGGCCGGCGAAAUCGAAGGCGUCAAUGCUGACAUUUGAUCUGCUAGACAAUUUGGGUGGGCUGCAUUGUACUGCAGUUGAAGUUGUUUGAGG
rnacentral:misc_RNA from 1 species